rnacentral:rRNA from 1 species
AAGACCUUGCGCUUUUGGAGCGGCCGAUGCCUGAUUAGCUUGUUGGUAAGGUAAAAGCUUACCAAGGCUUCGAUCAGUAGCUGGUCUGAGAGGACGACCAGCCACACUGGGACUGAGACACGGCCCAGACUCCUACGGGAGGCAGCAGUGGGGAAUUUUGGACAAUGGGGGCAACCCUGAUCCAGCCAUGCCGCGUGAGUGAAGAAGGCCUUCGGGUUGUAAAGCUCUUUCAGCCGGAACGAAACGGUUACGGUUAAUACCCGUGAUUACUGACGGUACCGGAAGAAGAAGCACCGGCUAACUACGUGCCAGCAGCCGCGGUAAUACGUAGGGUGCAAGCGUUAAUCGGAAUUACUGGGCGUAAAACGUGCGCAGGUGGUUUUGUAAGUCAGAUGUGAAAUCCCCGGGCUUAACCUGGGAACU